CGUGUAGGCGGCCCUAUAAGUCUGGUGUGAAAGCCCGGGGCUUACCCCCGGAAGUGCACUGGAAACUGCAGGGCUAGAGUACCGGAGAGGAAGGUGGAAUUCCUGGUGUAGCGGUGAAAUGCGUAGAUAUCAGGAGGAACACCGGUGGCGAAGGCGGCCUUCUGGACGGAUACUGACGCUGAGACGCGAAAGCGUGGGGAGCAAACAGGAUUAGAUACCCUGGUAGUCCACGACUGUAAACGAUGGGCACUAGGUGUUCGGGUAUUGACCCCCUGAGUGCCGCAGCUAACGCAUUAAGUGCCCCGCCUGGGGACUACGGCCGCAAGGUUAAA
rnacentral:rRNA from 1 species